rnacentral:rRNA from 1 species
AUGAACGCUGGCGGCGUGCCUAACACAUGCAAGUCGAACGAAGCAUCUUACCCGACAAAGAGGAGUGCUUGCACAAAUCUGCGUCAACCGAGAUGACUUAGUGGCGGACGGGUGAGUAACGCGUGGGUAACCUGCCGUAUGCAGGGGGAUAACAGUUAGAAAUGACUGCUAAUACCGCAUAAGCGCACACUACCGCAUGGUAGAGUGUGAAAAGCCUUAACGGCAUACGAUGGACCCGCGUCUGAUUAGCCAGUUGGCAGGGUAACGGCCUACCAAAGCGACGAUCAGUAGCCGGCCUGAGAGGGUGAACGGCCACAUUGGGACUGAGACACGGCCCAAACUCCUACGGGAGGCAGCAGUGGGGGAUAUUGCACAAUGGGGGAAACCCUGAUGCAGCGACGCCGCGUGAGUGAAGAAGUAUUUCGGUAUGUAAAGCUCUAUCAGCAGGGAAGAAAAUGACGGUACCUGACUAAGAAGCUCCGGCUAAAUACGUGCCAGCCGCCGC